rnacentral:rRNA from 1 species
UACGUAGGGGGCAAGCGUUGUCCGGAUUUAUUGGGCGUAAAGAGCUCGUAGGCGGUUCCGUAAGUCGGGUGUGAAAAAUCUGGGCUCAACCCAGUGGAGCACCCGAUACUGCGGUGACUGGAGUCCGGUAGGGGAGUGUGGAAUUCCUGGUGUAGCGGUGAAAUGCGCAGAUAUCAGGAGGAACACCGACGGCGAAGGCAGCACUCUGGGCCGGUACUGACGCUGAGGAGCGAAAGCGUGGGGAGCGAACAGG